UGGGGAAUAUUGCACAAUGGGCGAAAGCCUGAUGCAGCAACGCCGCGUGAGGGACGACGGCCUUCGGGUUGUAAACCUCUUUAGCAAGGAAGAAGCGAAAGUGACGGUACUUGCAGAAAAACGCGCCGGCUAACUACGUGCCAGCAGCCGCGGUAAUACGUAGGGCGCAAGCGUUAUCCGGAAUUAUUGGGCGUAAAGAGCUCGUAGGCGGUUUGUCGCGUCUGCUGUGAAAACCCGAGGCUCAACCUCGGGCCUGCAGUGGGUACGGGCAGACUAGAGUGCGGUAGGGGAGAUUGGAACUCCUGGUGUAGCGGUGGAAUGCGCAGAUAUCAGGAAGAACACCGAUGGCGAAGGCAGAUCUCUGGGCCGUAACUGACGCUGAGGAGCGAAAGGGUGGGGAGCAAACAGGCUUAGAUACCCUGGUAGUCCACCCGUAAACGUUGGGAACUAGUUGUGGGGUCCAUUCCACGGAUUCCGUGACGCAGCUAACGCAUUAAGUUCCCCGCCUGGGGAGUACGGCCGCAAGGCU
rnacentral:rRNA from 1 species